UACGUAGGGGGCAAGCGUUGUCCGGAUUUAUUGGGCGUAAAGAGCGUGUAGGCGGCUAGGUAGGUCCGUUGUGAAAACUCGAGGCUCAACCUCGAGACGCCGGUGGAAACCAUCUAGCUAGAGUCCGGAAGAGGAGAGUGGAAUUCCUGGUGUAGCGGUGAAAUGCGCAGAUAUCAGGAGGAACACCAAUAGCGAAGGCAGCUCGCUGGGACGGUACUGACGCUGAGGUGCGAAAGCGUGGGGAGCAAACAGG
rnacentral:rRNA from 1 species